rnacentral:rRNA from 1 species
CCUACGGGUGGCAGCAGUGGGGAAUAUUGGACAAUGGGGGAAACCCUGAUCCAGCGACGCCGCGUGAGUGAGGAAGUAUUUCGGUAUGUUAAGCUCUAUCAGUAGGGAAGAAAGAAAUGACGGUACCUGACCAAGAAGCCCCGGCUAACUACGUGCCAGCAGCCGCGGUAAUACGUAGGGGGCAAGCGUUAUCCGGAGUUACUGGGUGUAAAGUGAGCGUAGGCGGUAAUGCAAGUCUGGCGGGAAAUGCAGGGGCUUAAACCCUGAACUGCUUUGGAAACUGUAGGACUUGAGUGCAGGAGAGGUAAGUGGAAUUCGUAGGGUAGCGGUGAAAUGCGUAGAUAUUAGGAGGAACACCAGUGGCGAAGGCGGCUUACUGGACUGUAACUGACGUUGAGGCACGAAAGCGUGGGGAGCAAACAGGAUUAGAUACCCUGGUAGUC